GUGGCUCAGUGGGUUAAGCCGCUGCCUUCGGCUCAGGACUCUACCAGAGCUUCGGGCCCCAUUUGCAUCCAGCUGCCCAUGGGUGUCAGUAGCUGUUGGACUUAGCAGAGUCACACAUCUCAAUUUGGACCAGUUCAUUUCUAGUGCUCAAGGGCAUACGUGACUAACAUUAAACAGUGCAUAUCUAGCUCCACUAUUUCCUACCUGUGACUUCUGCUCCCUUGUGGAGAUAAUUACUUUCAACUCUUCUGUUUCUUUUUAUAUGUAUCAUAAUAUUUUUAAACAAUAGGCUUACACUACUAUUUUAUGAUUUUUACAUUUAACCAAUCCUUGUCUUUCUUUUAUGGAGAUGAAAAUUUAACUCUCUUAUACUUUCUCUCUUAUACAUGUACACAUACAUACUUUCUUUUUUUUCAUGUUCCCAGUAAUCAGUAUUAUGUUUAAAUUAUUCAAAUUGGGAUAGAGAAUGUGAUAUAUUUACUGUCUCAUACAAAUUUUUGUUUUUCUAGAGUUUAUAAUUGCCUUAGUGUUUUCAUGUGGUUUUCUAUAAUAUCAUGACUUUUUCCUCUUAGCAUUCCUACAUAGAUAUAAAAUAAACUAUCUUAGCAUGGGUGAGCCAUAAGCAAUUGUAAUUAUUUUGUUUUUUCCUCAUCAAUAUCUCUUGUGGAAUUCUCUAACCACCUGAUAUAAUGUGAACUUGACCCCUGAGCCUCAGACAUAGCUUUCAUCCUGGAUCUUUUUUUCAUCACAGCACUAGGAUGUCCUUUUGAUCCUGUUUUCCUCUCCUGUUGCUUGGAUCUAUUACUGUCUUCCUCUUUAUUGGUUUACUCUCUUGCUUGGGUAGAACAUAUCCUCCUGUCACUUCAUGAGACAAGGAUAUAUGUAAAGUGGACUUUUGAGAUCUUGUGUGCUACAACACA